CGGAAGGAUCAUUAAUGAGAGGGGGGCUCCGCGCUCUAGGGGUUCACGCCCCGCACCUUUCCACCCUUUGUGUACCAUCCACUGUUGCUUUGGCGGUCCCCGGGGUUCUCCCCCGGCGUUGGCCCCUAUCCAUGGGGCUCGCGAGCGCCCGCCAGAAGCCCAUCGAAAACCUGUUUCGUCGGAGAAGUCAGAGUUUCUACGAAUGAAUUAAAACUUUCAACAACGGAUCUCUUGGUUCUGGCAUCGAUGAAGAACGCAGCGAAAUGCGAUAAGUAAUGUGAAUUGCAGAAUUCAGUGAAUCAUCGAAUCUUUGAACGCACAUUGCGCCCCCCGGCAUUCCGGGGGGCAUACCUGUUCGAGCGUCAUUAAACCCCUCAAGCUCUGCUUGGUAUUGGGCGUUCGCACCCCGCAGCAUGGGCGGGCGCGCCCGAAAACGAGUGGCGGUCCCGGGAGACUUCAAGCGCAGUAACUGAACCCGUUUUGGAAGCUUUCUGCCCGGUGGCUCGGCCAACGAAUGACUUUCAAGAAUU
rnacentral:rRNA from 1 species